GAUGAACGCUGGCGGCGUGCCUAAUACAUGCAAGUCGAGCGAACGGACGAGAAGCUUGCUUCUCUGAUGUUAGCGGCGGACGGGUGAGUAACACGUGGAUAACCUACCUAUAAGACUGGGAUAACUUCGGGAAACCGGAGCUAAUACCGGAUAAUAUUUUGAACCGCAUGGUUCAAAAGUGAAAGACGGUCUUGCUGUCACUUAUAGAUGGAUCCGCGCUGCAUUAGCUAGUUGGUAAGGCAACGGCUUACCAAGGCAACGAUGCAUAGCCGACCUGAGAGGGUGAUCGGCCACACUGGAACUGAGACACGGUCCAGACUCCUACGGGAGGCAGCAGUAGGGAAUCUUCCGCAAUGGGCGAAAGCCUGACGGAGCAACGCCGCGUGAGUGAUGAAGGUCUUCGGAUCGUAAAACUCUGUUAUUAGGGAAGAACAUAUGUGUAAGUAACUGUGCACAUCUUGACGGUACCUAAUCAGAAAGCCACGGCUAACUACGUGCCAGCAGCCGCGGUAAUACGUANGUGGGCAGCGUUAUCCGGAAUUAUUGGGCGUAAAGCGCGCGUAGGCGGUUUUUUAAGUCUGAUGUGAAAGCCCACGGCUCAUUCGUGGAGGGUCAUUGGAAACUGGAAAACUUGAGUGCAGAAGAGGAAAGUGGAAUUCCAUGUGUAGCGGUGAAAUGCGCAGAGAUAUGGAGGAACACCAGUGGCGAAGGCGACUUUCUGGUCUGUAACUGACGCUGAUGUGCGAAAGCGUGGGGAUCAAACAGGAUUAGAUACCCUGGUAGUCCACGCCGUAAACGAUGAGUGCUAAGUGUUAGGGGGUUUCCGCCCCUUAGUGCUGCAGCUAACGCAUUAAGCACUCCGCCUGGGGAGUACGACCGCAAGGUUGAAACUCAAAGGAAUUGACGGGGACCCGCACAAGCGGUGGAGCAUGUGGUUUAAUUCGAAGCAACGCGAAGAACCUUACCAAAUCUUGACAUCCUUUGACAACUCUAGAGAUAGAGCUUUCCCCUUCGGGGGACAAAGUGACAGGUGGUGCAUGGUUGUCGUCAGCUCGUGUCGUGAGAUGUUGGGUUAAGUCCCGCAACGAGCGCAACCCUUAAGCUUAGUUGCCAUCAUUAAGUUGGGCACUCUAAGUUGACUGCCGGUGACAAACCGGAGGAAGGUGGGGAUGACGUCAAAUCAUCAUGCCCCUUAUGAUUUGGGCUACACACGUGCUACAAUGGACAAUACAAAGGGCAGCGAAACCGCGAGGUCAAGCAAAUCCCAUAAAGUUGUUCUCAGUUCGGAUUGUAGUCUGCAACUCGACUACAUGAAGCUGGAAUCGCUAGUAAUCGUAGAUCAGCAUGCUACGGUGAAUACGUUCCCGGGUCU
rnacentral:rRNA from 1 species